rnacentral:lncRNA from 1 species
AUGAUUCUGUACAUAGCACACAGACACCGUGUGUACCAAACACAUCACGUCAGCCUCAAGGGACAGGAGGGGUCCUUAGUGCACCAUGCUAUGGAGGCAAACGCUUGGAGAGAUGGUUCCUGCCCCGAAGCAGGGAGAAGAGACUUAACAAGGGUCAGACAACAAGUUCAGGGCAUGCAAAGCCCAGAAUUCCUGGUGCUCGCUCAAUGCACCAGCCUGGGAACGGCGCUAGCCUGGGAACAGCAUUACCGUGCCCAAAUGCAAGCAGGCUGCCGCCUUCAACCCGCCUGCRGCACGAGCCGAGCGAUCCCAGCCGAGCGGGAGAGGGGAAACGGGAGGGGGCCCAGCAGACGAGGGGCUGUCGAGGGGAGCCGAGCCGCUGCCCGGGGYGAGGUGAUUGAUGGACAACUGGGGAAGGAAACCGCAAACGGCCUCCGGGCAGCCGGCGCAGCUGCUCUUGGCCCCCCACCAGCCUCAAAGAAAUGGUUUUCCAAGCACGUCCUUCCCAGGUGGUUCCCAUUUAAAAGCCCGCACAGAAGGAGGAGGAGGAAAGACAGAAAAUGGGGCCAUCUGCAGUGCUACCUCCAUCCCUCGAUCCGCCAGCGCCACAGCCCAUCUUGCACCGCUAGCUCCCCAGACGGCACACGUAAGCUCAGCACGGUCCUGCCAGAUGCCCGUGCCCUGGCGCAAAGCCUCCAAAUACCUGGAGCAGGAUUGGUGACRCCCGAGGAUGUCCAUCGGAGCUUCUCCACCGCUGCCCUCGCCACGAAGGCUGGGAUCCCRAUGGAGCCUGGCCUCAGGGGACUGGGAACUCGUUUUCCCCUCACUUUUGAAACUGGCCCUCCCUGGGAAACCCAGCCUGGACGCCACACGCACGGUACCGUGGCUUUGGGGAAGCCCACGCGAGGGUUUCAGAGGGCACCCUGGUACCUGCAGAUAGCUGCUGCAGAAGGACGCGCUUCGGUGCUGCACCCGCACAGGAACGAACACAACCAGGGCCACGACGCCAGGGGAACGACAGCACGCUCAUCCCACGCCGGUUCAAUCAGAUUUCCCCAUAAUUUCAGCACCGCACGCUUUCACACCCCGCGUGCCUCSCCGGGGUCACGUCUCUGCUCCUUGCUUCUGCCGCUGCCUCUGUAA